rnacentral:rRNA from 1 species
CCUACGGGUGGCAGCAGUGAGGAAUAUUGGUCAAUGGCCGGAAGGCUGAACCAGCCAAGCCGCGUGAGGGAGGAAGGCGCAGAGCGUCGCAGACCUCUUUUGCCGGGGGACAACAGGCCGGACUCGUCCGGUCCUGAGGGUACCCGGAGAAAAAGCAUCGGCUAACUACGUGCCAGCAGACGCGGUAAUACGGAGGAUGCGCUGGUUAUCCGGAUUGAGUGGGUUUAGAGGGUGCGCAGGCGGGCCUGUAAGACGGCGGUGAAAUGGCGGGGCUCAACCCCGCCGAGCCGUCGGAACUGGGGGCCUUGAGUGCGGCGGAGGCAUGCGGAAUGCGCGGUGUAGCGGUGAAAUGCAUAGAUAUCGCGCAGAACCCCGAUUGCGAAGGCAGCGUGCCGUGCCGCCACUGACGCUGAGGCACGAAAGCGCGGGGAUCGAACAGGAUUAGAUACCCGUGUAGUC